UACGUAGGGUGCGAGCGUUAAUCGGAAUUACUGGGCGUAAAGCGUGCGCAGGCGGUUUUGUAAGCCAGAUGUGAAAUCCCCGGGCUUAACCAGGGAAUGGCAUUUGGGACUGCAAGGCUUGAGUGCGGCAGAGGAGACUGGAAUUCCUGGUGUAGCAGUGAAAUGCGUAGAUAUCAGGAGGAACACCGAUGGCGAAGGCAGGUCUCUGGGCUGACACUGACGCUCAUGCACGAAAGCGUGGGGAGCAAACAGG
rnacentral:rRNA from 1 species